GGCAACGCAGAUUGAGUCUCCUAGAGUUUGGUGGUACACGGGUCCCCCUGCUAAGCUCCUCCAGGAAGGCUCUGGACAAAGUUCAGCGAUCGCAUUGAGGUAUUGACACAGCACGAAGGAGGCAGUGGUCCUGACAAAGCUUCAUGAGAGCCAGCUGCUAAAAGCGAGCGUAAGGUCAGCCCUGAAACCUGGUUCCGAGAGCGCCUGCCCUGAUCGCAUAGGACAGGUCUGUGUUCAGACAGCAGGCUGAAUCUCUGAGUCCGUGACCUGGCCAGCGCGGGUCCUGACCCCGGAAGCAAAGCUUUCACCACAAAGAACCGAGACGUAAAAGGAAAACUCCUGUGCAGCACGAGUUGUCUCAGAGAUGCAAAACUGGAAAGCUGUUUUACCGGCACUCUUUCCAGCUGCAGCUGCUUAAAAACCAUAAACUGUGUGGGACUCAAGUAUGCCGGACAUGAUGGACCUACCGACAAGUUCAUAAUGGAAAUUCUUUCAGACUGGUGGUGUGCAAAUGAACGACUGCUCUGUCUUCUGCAGAGGGCUACUUUUCGAUCCCUACUGGGCUGCAUUAUCCAACACACUCCCCUCACUCCUCCUCUGGCAGCAAAGAGCUUCUGAGACCCUCUCAUUGAACAGUUCAGCUGGCUUGAGAGAGACAUGGCAUCAUCUUCUUUUUAAAACAAUCUCUUUCACCCACUGAAGAUGAGUCAGUAAAAGUAUCUUCAUUAGCUUCUUUGGUUUCCUGUUAUCAUAAUUACUACUGUCACAUAUUGGACGGAUCUCUUGAAAACUGUACA
rnacentral:lncRNA from 1 species